CGGUCAGUCCCUGACCGUCCUGGUCGACCCGGAGGAAGAGGAUCGGUGGAUGGAGAACAUGGAGGACGAGGAGGCGGCCGACGACGGCUUUG
rnacentral:miRNA from 1 species